AUUGAACGCUGGCGGCAGGCCUAACACAUGCAAGUCGAACGGUAACAGGAAGCAGCUUGCUGCUUUGCUGACGAGUGGCGGACGGGUGAGUAAUGUCUGGGAAACUGCCCGAUGGAGGGGGAUAACUACUGGAAACGGUAGCUAAUACCGCAUAACGUCGCAAGACCAAAGAGGGGGACCUUCGGGCCUCUUGCCAUCGGAUGUGCCCAGAUGGGAUUAGCUUGUUGGUGAGGUAACGGCUCACCAAGGCGACGAUCCCUAGCUGGUCUGAGAGGAUGACGAGCCACACGGGAACUGGGACACGGUCCAGACUCCUACGGGAGGCAGCAGUGGGGAAUAUUGCACAAUGGGCGCAAGCCUGAUGCAGCCAUGCCGCGUGUAUGAAGAAGGCCUUCGGGUUGUAAAGUACUUUCAGCGGGGAGGAAGGUGUUGUGGUUAAUAACCGCAGCAAUUGACGUUACCCGCAGAAGAAGCACCGGCUAACUCCGUGCCAGCCGCCGCCGUAA
rnacentral:rRNA from 1 species